rnacentral:rRNA from 2 species
AUUAUACGGCGAAACUGCGAAUGGCUCAUUAUAUAAGUUAUCGUUUAUUUGAUAGCACCUUACUACUUGGAUAACCGUGGUAAUUCUAGAGCUAAUACAUGCUAAAAAUCCCGACUUCGGAAGGGAUGUAUUUAUUAGAUUAAAAACCAAUGCCCUCUGGGCUCUCUGGUGAUUCAUGAUAACUUCUCGAAUCGCAUGGCCUUGCGCCGGCGAUGGUUCAUUCAAAUUUCUUCCCUAUCAACUUUCGAUGUUUGGGUAGUGGCCAAACAUGGUUGCAACGGGUAACGGAGGGUUAGGGCUCGACCCCGGAGAAGGAGCCUGAGAAACGGCUACUACAUCCAAGGAAGGCAGCAGGCGCGCAAAUUACCCAAUCCCGACACGGGGAGGUAGUGACAAUAAAUACUGAUACAGGGCUCUUUUGGGUCUUGUAAUUGGAAUGAGUACAAUUUAAAUCCCUUAACGAGGAACAAUUGGAGGGCAAGUCUGGUGCCAGCAGCCGCGGUAAUUCCAGCUCCAAUAGCGUAUAUUAAAGUUGUUGUGGUUAAAAAGCUCGUAGUUGAACCUUGGGCCUGGCUGGCCGGUCCGCCUCACCGCGUGCACUGGUCCGGCCGGGCCUUUCCCUCUGUGGAACCCCAUGCCCUUCACUGGGUGUGGCGGGGAAACAGGACUUUUACUUUGAAAAAAUUAGAGUGCUCCAGGCAGGCCUAUGCUCGAAUACAUUAGCAUGGAAUAAUGAAAUAGGACGUGCGGUUCUAUUUUGUUGGUUUCUAGGACCGCCGUAAUGAUUAAUAGGGACAGUCGGGGGCAUCAGUAUUCAAUUGUCAGAGGUGAAAUUCUUGGAUUUAUUGAAGACUAACUACUGCGAAAGCAUUUGCCAAGGAUGUUUUCAUUAAUCAGGAACGAAAGUUAGGGGAUCGAAGACGAUCAGAUACCGUCGUAGUCUUAACCAUAAACUAUGCCGACUAGGGAUCGGACGAUGUUAUUUUUUGACUCGUUCGGCACCUUACGAGAAAUCAAAGUGCU